UACGGAAGAUGCGAGCGUUAUCCGGAUUUAUUGGGUUUAAAGGGAGCGUAGGCGGGACGUCAAGUCAGCGGUAAAAGUUCGGUGCUCAACGCCGUGCCGCCGUUGAAACUGGUGUUCUUGAAUGCGGUCAAGGCAGGUGGAAUUCGUGGUGUAGCGGUGAAAUGCUUAGAUAUCACGAAGAACUCCGAUAGCGAAGGCAUCCUGCUGGUCCGUGAUUGACGCUGAGGCUCGAAAGUGCGGGUAUCGAACA
rnacentral:rRNA from 1 species